UCUUGGCCUAGUGGUAAUGGAACUCCAGCUGGAGUGCCCGCCCUGGGUUCGAGUCGCCUUGGCCACCUUCCCGCCUAUAACCGUGCGUGCCCGGAUGGAAGGCCUCGUGGGGAUUAGUCUGGGCUUACCGUCUGGGAACCCCCACGGUUAUCAAAAAAAAAAACAAAAAAAAAAAAAUGUUGUUACGUUGCAUGAGAGUUGAAAAUCAGAUAACAAAUAUAUUCUAUAUAUGUAUAUCUCUCUACCACAGAUAGCGAAACAAGUGGGUCAACAUUAUUGAGUUUGUACUAUCAUAUCACUAAGGUGAAAGACUAAUAUGGUCUAAAACCUGUUAAUUAUGUAGGGAUGCAACCAGAAAACUGGACGCUCAAGAGGGGUUUGUUUCCUUCGCAAUCAGCAGGUUUUGUAUUCUUCAGUUCAUGUGUGACCGUUUGUUUUAGCCCAACGGCCAUAAAUGAAACGAAUGGUAAAUGGUUAAGUAGUAGUGUAGUACACAACUCAGAUGCAACUGGGCGACAAAAGGUGCUACUUUUGGCGAGGACAAACAUAUAUCUGAUGGAAAAUGUGCCGUUGAACUUACAAACGGCGCAGAGGAUGGUAGAGAGAUCUAAAACGAAGAAGCUCCUUUUUUUUUUUGCUAACUCGCUCCUGAAAAUGAUCCUCAAUAUACCACUUUGUAUGUAGGAAACCUCGCUCCAGAAAGUAAAUUCUCAACUUUUUAGGAAUCUCUCAUUAUAAACACAAAGAGACAACUUUUGCUGGUUUUUCUGACAUGUCGUGAGAGUUGUCACAUUUGCAAGUAAUUCAGCUUGAUCUACACCGCACGUUCCAUACACUUGCGCUGGAGUGAUUGAGGAGGUCCGUGUCCAGCAAGACAAAGGCUUUGGUUUUGUGUGAUAUAAACACUCAUGACGAGGCUGCUCUUGCUAUUCAAUCUGGCAACUCUGCUUGUAAACUGGUUUCACCGGUUUUCACCUAAACUCGUCUCCAUGUUUAUUUGAUUAUUAAUUGCAGUGUUCAUGGGGGAAGCAAACCAACUCCAACAGGCACAGCCCUAAACUCACUUCCCCCACCAGUGCCAGUCCCUGGUCUAUCUCCAGUUGACCUCUUAGCCUAUGAGAGGCAACUGGGUCUAGCCAAGAUGCAUCAGCAUUCUAUAAGACAUGUCAAUAUAGCUGGAGCAAGUGCAGCUAUGUACGAUGGUGGCUUUCAGAAUGUAGCUACGGCGCAUCCGCAUCUCAUGUACUAUCAAUAACAAACUCACUCUGGUCUCUUGGCUGAUCUACCUUGUUUUUUCUUCUUCUACCGAAUUUUAUCAUUAUCUUGCUUUUUUUCUAGACCUUGUUCAGCGUCAUAUAUGUGUCUCUCAUUUAAAGCCGUUGAUUAUAUUGCUUAGGUUGUAAGCUAUGAUGAGUCUGUUUGGAUUGUAGUCCAAGCAAUAAAAUAACAUGAAAUAAAAGAGUUUCGUUU